rnacentral:rRNA from 1 species
GACGAACGCUGGCGGCGUGCUUAACACAUGCAAGUCGAACGGAAAGGCCCCUUUGGGGGUCCUCGAGUGGCGCACGGGUGAGUAACACGUGAGUAACCUGCCCUUGACUUCGGGAUAACUUCAGGAAACUGGGGCUAAUACCGGAUAGGAAUCCUUGCUGCAUGGUGGGGGUUGGAAAGCUUCGGCGGUUUUGGAUGGACUCGCGGCUUAUCAGCUUGUUGGUGGGGUAGUGGCUUACCAAGGCUUUGACGGGUAGCCGGCCUGAGAGGGCGACCGGCCACAUUGGGACUGAGAUACGGCCCAGACUCCUACGGGAGGCAGCAGUGGGGAAUAUUGCACAAUGGGCGGAAGCCGGAUGCAGCAACGCCGCGUGCGGGAUGACGGCCUUCGGGUUGUAAACCGCUUUCAGCAGGGGCGAAGCUUGUGGUGACGGUACCUGCAGAAGAAGCACCGGCUAACUACGUG